UAAUGAGCCGGGCUUCGUUGGUCGUCUCUUUUCCUCCGUCGGGUCGGCGAUUGGCAGAACCCUAAUCUCUGAGUCCGGAUCGUUCGAUUGCUCCCGACACCGGAUCGGAGGAGAGGAGAGGAGGAUCGGCUGAACCUGGGCGGCGAUGGGGAAGAAGAAGAAGAGGCCGUCGAAGAUGUGGUGCUACUACUGCGACCGGGAGUUCGACGACGAGAAGAUCCUCGUUCAGCACCAGAAGGCCAAGCACUUCAAGUGCCACGUCUGCCACAAGAAGCUCUCCACCGCUGGUGGCAUGGCCAUCCAUGUUCUCCAGGUCCACAAGGAGACCGUCACCAAGGUUCCUAAUGCUAAGCCUGACAGAGAAUCAACUGAGAUUGAGAUUUACGGAAUGCAAGGAAUCCCUCCUGAUAUAUUAGCAGCUCACUAUGGCGAAGAUGAAGAGGCAGCAGCAAAGACAAUGAAAAUGGAAAUGCCAUCCACUGGGCUUGUUGGAGUUGUACCUGGUUCAAUGGGCAUAAGAUUUCCUCCACCACCAACCUAUGGUGCAGUUCCACCAGCAUACAAUCCUGCACUUCCAGUGCCACCUCCAACAUGGCCUGUUCCAGCUGCUCGUCCGCAACCUUGGUUUCCACCACAGUUGACCAUUCCAGUUCCUCCUGCACCUGUUGUGGCACCACAACAACCAUUAUUUCCUAUUCAGAAUGUUAUGACUCCUUUGAACUCCACUUCUGGUGCUGGACUUCAAUCACCACUUCCACCUGGCGUAUCAUCAUCCACACCACCUGCAGUGUCCCAACCACUAUUUCCAAUCAGUAGUCCAGCUGGUGUACCAGCUCAGAGUUCCCCAUUUUUGGCAACAUCCUCACCUGCAGUCAUUUCCUCAACCUCCCCUAUGAUGUUGAAAGGUGUAGCUGAUGCAAAUCCUGUAUCAAGUAUUGCUGCAAGUGGUUAUGUUGCUCUAAACAAUUCAGGUGUUGUUUCAUAUACAAAUUCACAUGUGUAUGCUUCUGGUCCAAACACUGAGAACCCUUCAAUUGGACCUCCACCUGUGAUAUCCAACAAACCCCCUGCUUCCCAUCCCACCGCAAAUGAGGUGUACUUGGUUUGGGAUGAUGAGGCAAUGUCAAUGGAAGAAAGAAGAAUGUCUCUACCAAAGUAUCAGGUGCAUGAUGAAACUAGCCAGGUAAGUUGCUAGUGCCUUCUGUUUAUUCGUUCUAAUGAAUUGAGAUGAAUGUGCAAUUUGGUUGCAGAUCUGGAUAGGUAGGUUGACCUAUUCCUUUUAGAUUCUUCGUACUAUACUUAAUUGUACUUAAUAGUUGAUAAAUCCAUCAGAAUCUAGACUCCACUAAGUUUUUGGCCCUUUUGAGUUUACUACUAGGACUUCUUUUCUAAUCAAUUUCUAGUUUCACCCUUCUGGUUGAUGGGGAAAGAGUUUUUUUUCCUUAAAUUGCGACCUUUAACAUGCUAUAUAUAAUCCAGUCGAUUUUCUGGGGCAUCAAAGUUUCCAAGUAGGUAUUUACAUUUAUUCUUUCUGCUAGUUAGUGGUACAAAUCUGACAAGCUUGUGCUGCAAAAGACUCAAGGGUCCUCAACCUAGCACCAGGCCAGUGCGAAAAUGUGUAUGUAUUUUGUUCUGAUUAAAAUUUUAAUUUCUUGUAUGUGGUAUUUAUUCUCCCUAUUGCUUGUUAAUGAGCUUGGGGGCUUGGAUGGCACAAGAUAUAUCCCGACAGGCUUUUCUCAAUUCGUAGCAUUUCUUGUUAUCUAUAUUUGAUCACAGUGUGCGACAAGAGUUGGCACAGAUGAACUCUGUCAAUGCAGCCAUAGACAGACGGAUAUCUGAAAGCCAGCUUGCAGGUCGUAUGGCUUUCUAGUCUUUUUCCUAGUGCUGGAAGUUGAAGUCUCUUUGGCGAUCUUGGAAGGACUUGAGAUCCAUAAGCAACAAGCUUCAAUGAUCCUUCUGAAUAAAUAUGCUCUUCAUCAGAGGUUGGUUUGUCUGUCAAACGUAUCCAUAGACAAUUUAGACGAGUUUGUUGUUUCAUUUGAUGAUGAAUAGGCUGUGAGUUAUAAGUGUAAAGGUUUUGAACGGUUCUUCUAUCAAGAUUCUCAGCAGUUCUUCAGAAACUAAUACCACUGCUUCAUUUUGGUCA